UCAAAUUGGUUCAAGAAUCAUCUUAAUCCGAUCACUGUAGCUCAAGUUAUAGCCGAAAUACGAAAAUGUGUCAAAACUGUCAAAAUACACAAAAUCCAAGUAAAAAGUGAUAAAAACCUCAUUUAACCACUUAAAAACAUUUUUCACCAAUUAUAGCCAAAAUGAAUCAUUUUCUUCCAAUAAUAUACCCAAAGUGACUAAAAAUAAUAUAAAAUAUCAUACAAUUAUUACGUAAAUUAGUCACUUAUCAUGUAUUAAACAACAAUAUGCAAUUUUACAGCCAAAAUUCAUGGAGGAAAACUGGAAAAGUUCUUCCUCUCUCUCUUGGCCAUCUCAACAAAAUUUCCAGCAAGGUCCUUCAAUAUUUUCAGCCAAGUUCACCAACUUUUCACUAGUUUCAAAGAUAAAACAUACUAUAUAUAUAAGGCAAGAGAUAAAAUAUAUAUCAUGCAUUUCUAGUAAAAUUUCUUCCAAGAUUUUUAAUGAAUAGUUGUGAAACUCAAGCUCUCUUCCUCUCGGUCAACACAGAGAAUUUUCCAGCAGGUUAUCAGUUUUUAAGCAAAGUUUUCCUUCAGAUUUUACGCUGAUCCUUCUUUGUUUCACGUUAAACACUGCAUGCAUGACAAGGUAGAAGAGCUAGGGUGUGUGUGUGUUGUAUACAAAUUCAACUUAACAAAUUUUGAGAGAAGAACAACAUGCAGUAAUUUCAGCAGAAUAUUUCCAGCUUUGAGGCAUUUUUCCUUGGUUAAAUUUCUCUUUUCUUGAGGGUAGUUCAAGUUAAGACAGUAUAGAACUAAGGUAGAGAGGAAAUAAGGGAAAUUUAUCAGGUUUUACCUCUUGUUUCCUGACAAUGAAAGCUGGGAAAAUUGCAGACUGUUUCACCUUUCUUCUCUCGGUUUCUCAAAGGCAAAAUGCUCCAAUUUUCUCCCCUCAAUGCAGCUGGUUUGGGCACAAAGAAGCUGCAAUCGCUUCCUCACUCUCAAUUCUCUCUCUUGUGUUGAAUUGAUAAGAGGAAAAUGGACUAACUCUCUCACUCACUCUCUCGGUUGCAGGCUAGAAUAAAAAAGAACUAGAAAUGUGUUUGCUCUCUCGGUC
rnacentral:lncRNA from 1 species